CUGGCUUCUGGACUGUAGCAUCACACACGCACGUAUGCAUGCUGUGGAUGGAGAGGGAUGGAGGUGUGUGUCAUGCUCCAGUCCAUGUCCCUAUGUCCCUCCAUGUCAUGUCCCUCUUAUCUACCUGUUUUCCAUAUUGUUCUCUCUAUGAUAUUAGUACUCCUCUACAGUAGUAUCCCGACAGGCCCCUUUGUUGAUUCUAUUACUAAUACUGUAUGUCCAACCACAGACUCUCAACAUCCGUGCUAGCUAUUUAGAAUGCUAGUAGCAUGCUAGGGUUGACAUCGGCACAGAUAUAUCAAGGCACUGCACUCAUCAAGUACAGCUCGGGUUUGUUUCUACUCCACUGGCGCUGUCUAGGUUACUAUCAACAUGUCUGCAUUAUUCCAUCUCUCUUGACAAUACAAUUUUAAGAUGCAAACUGGUUGAAAUGACAUCCUUAGAACCUGGGUACUAUUAUUCCAUGCAUCCAGGGAAAGGCAUCACAUCAGAACCACCUAUAAUGUGGAGUCCAGCCCAUCUCUGAAUCAGACCCGUCUAUUGGUGAUGACCUACGUCCACAAGGUAAGUGCCACGGCAACCAUCAGUCUCUGUUCUGGACAUCAAUGACAUCAGCCCAGAGUGCCAGUCGUCUCUUAUAUUGUGAGAGGAGUCUACAGGCCUACUUCCACUCCUUUGUCUCAACUGUUGUCUUUUCGCUUCUCUUCUGUCUUUCCAUUUGUGCAUGUCCUCUCCCCUCUGCUUUGAUUCCUCGCCCCUCCUUUACCAUUCUCCACAGCCACAACACUACUUUUCAUUUCCCCUUUCCUGUACUUGUGAAAGGCUGUGCAGUUAUCUUCCGUAAGGUGAACCAACAGGAUCCUUUCUUCACUUCCUGUGUAUCUGUGGGUUUGAAAGAGAAUGCUCCUCGGGUUACCGUGGUAACCAUAGUCCGUACCACAGACCGAGACUGCCCCCAUCUGGUCAGAUACAAGAUUACAGGUGGAGCCGGAACAUUGAUGUGCUGU
ensembl:lncRNA